ACAGUGUUUCCUAAGAUCUUGCUUCUCUUUCAGAUAGGAACCUGCUUCCCAUUAAGGGGUCCUCUGAGCCCAGAGAAGAGCUAUUAUCUCUAAGAACUUGACUCAAAGCAUCAGUGGAGUGAAGCUAGUACAGGGAAAAGUCAAAUUUCUACCAUGGCUGGGCUGUCAGGCAAAAAGGACCCUCUUCCCUAACCUAAAACCAGCCAUGCCUCUGGCCUCUUAGCCCAGAGGAAGAGGAAGGUGUGCCUGCUUUUUCUCUUCCUCGUGGGCUCCUUAACUCCUUCCUCCCAGAAAAGGUCUAAGAAAUAGCCGACAUACCAGUACCACAUGGUGCCAAGGGCUGGGGGAAGCUCACAUUGCCAGCCUCACACUCCAUUCGGCGCCGCCCCGUACCAGUGGGUUACUGUAACCAUGGAGACCAACAAGUUCCUCCAUAUCACAGGAGAGAGGCUGCCAGCAGCCCAGGGCUCUGGGGGAGGCAGAAGGCAGCCUGCAGCAAAAAGGACGUGAGAUGACACCGUGCCUAUGUUGUGAGAUGAAGUGAUAUGAGUGAUGUGGGCAUUGCAGACUGACCUUUGGAUAAUGUGUCAGAAACAGGACCAUCUGCUUCUGGACCUUGGGUGGCCAUGGGCAACUGAAGCUGUGGAAAGCGUAACUGGCUAAGGGGGGACCACUCUACCUACCUUGGCAGAUGCAGGCUUCCUCCUGGCAUCUCCACCUCUCUACCCCUGACAGCUCUGCCACGUCAAGUGACUGCGGUAUCUAAAGCUGAUACUGGUUACCCCAUGAAGAGAGGUCAUAUGAGCUGGCCUGACACGUUCUGCUGCACUUGUUUAUAGGCCAGAGGAUUAAAACAACCUGUCAGGGGAGGGAGGGGGCAAACCCUGUACACAGGGCAAACACUGGCAACACAGCACAGAGGCCUCCCGCCAAGAAAUCUUUUGCUCAAAUAUAAAGCUGAAAUCUCUCACCAAACGCCAAAGCAGCUAACCAUGCCAAAUGCACUUAUGAUCCGGCGACCUUGAGACACUGACCUUGAGACACGUCAAUUCCUUUGACGUUCUUCUUAUGAAAGAUAGCUGCUGUCAUGCAGGGCAGUGAGGCAGGCUGAGUCCCUCUGGGAGCUUCUGAGAUGGUCACUCCAGUUUGCUUGGCAGUUUCGGAGGAGAGCUCCAAUCUCUGGGCACUACAGAGCCAACCAGCUGUGUAAGGAAUUCUGGAGAACAUGCACAUCAAACACCCUGGGAAAAGGAGGGGAAGCCAACCCAGGAAGAAGUGAAUUGGUCUCCUGCCAAGAACUCUGAAUGGCUGCCUCUGAAAAGUUGGCAGAAGCUCAGGUGGCAGCAAUGGCCUGUGAGUCACUCUUCCAUGAGAAAAGGGAAAUUGGUCCUGACCCCUGGGUCUGAAGAAGCUCCAGAGUGUCUUUAGCCAGCCUGCUCCAAAAGAGUUGCCCCACCAGGACUGUGGCCUCUGUUUCCUCUCCACCCAAACCAGCAUGGAAAAAACCAGCCCGGUCACCCUACAACAUGGAGUCAGGGCACCAACAGUCAUGACAGCAGGGCACUCAGCACUGGCAAGAGGAAGUAAUGGCUUCAGAGUCAAAGUAUCCCUUCAACACACAUGACUGAUUCAUAUAAAUGUGUAUAUACAUGUGUGUAAGGGUGUGUGUGUGUGUAUAACUGAUUUUCAGACUAGACCCACAUGGCUUCUGGAUUUUUCCUUCAGCUGCAUAAUGAGCUGGCUGGCUCCCUUUCCCUGUCUGCAGCUCCAGCCUGGCCCCUGCCCCUUCCUCAAGUCUCACUGGGCUCCAGCCAACUGUCUUCAAAUGUAGAAUGUUCUCUCAGACCUCAAGGCCUUUGCUACAGUCUCUCACUGCCCCAAGUAUUUCUCCUCCAUCAUCCAUUCCCAUUCUUCUUCCUGGUUAGCUUCCGCUCAGACAUGGCUUCCAGGAAGCUUUUCCCUGCUCCAUCCCUCUGACUUCACAAGGUACCAGACACAAAUCACUUCAAGUCUCCUGUACAAAGACUUCGUGGCUUGCUGAAGGACCUACUUCACAACUCUUGGUGGCUGCCUUGUUCACUGUUACACAAGACUGAGAGCAGCCUGAGGGCAAUUUCCAGGACUCAGGUCACCUCUGUCCUCAGUGCCUAGGUGUAGUACCUGGCACCUAACAGGCUCUCCAUAAAUGCCUUCUUAAUUCACAAGGGAAAGUCAGGGUCAGGGUCUUCCUGCUUUUUCCGGAGUCUCCUCACCUGAGAGUUGUCACACAACCCUUCUCCACGUGAGCCCUCCAACCUAGGUCAGGGCUAGAAUGUUGGUACUCGUUGCUUUCAAUCCAUUCCCUAAGGCCUUGUGGCACCGCUAUGGAUGGAGUGUCUGGCAGGAUUUCAGAACUCAUCUGGUAUGUGAAGCUGGGGGACUGCUGCCUUUCUACCUAUCCUUUUCCAGCCUCUCUUCUGCCAUGAGGUCUGCAGGUCAGCCCCUACAGGCCUUCUCAGCAGCAGGACUGCCUCUGAAAUGGAAGCAAUGGGGGUAUAGUGCCAAGGUAAGGUCCCCAAGAGAUUCUAGGCCCACCCCAUUUUUUAAAAAA